rnacentral:sRNA from 1 species
UUACGGGUUCGCCGGCGGCCCGCCGAGUG